UACGGAGGGUGCAAGCGUUGCUCGGAAUUAUUGGGCGUAAAGGGUAGGUAGGUGGUCUCGUUUGUCUGGGGUGAAAGCCUUGAGCUUAACUCAAGAAGUGCCUCAGAAACGGCGAGACUAGAGUUCUGGAGAGGGUCGUGGAAUUCCCGGUGUAGCGGUGUAAUGCGUAGAGAUCGGGAGGAACACCAGAGGCGAAGGCGGCGACCUGGACAGAUACUGACACUCAACUACGAAAGCGUGGGUAGCAAACAGG
rnacentral:rRNA from 1 species